UCUCCAAACAUGGGCUGGGCUCAAACAAAUAAAGGAAUUAGCUCCUAGGUCCUCAACUGAUACAAAUUGUCGUCAGGGAUCUGUUAAAGUUAAUGAAACUAUGACAAUUCAGAGCAAUCAGACCAGGUGCUCACCAGGUUCCAGGUGCUCAUGACCAAGGGUAGAUUAAGAGGCUACAGAAUAGCUUGCUCAGGAAGAGUUGUGGUGGUUGUUUUGUUGGGACCAGUUUUGUGUAGUUUCUAGGCGAGACAUUUUGAGGAAAGCAGCUUUUUUUGAGGCAUUGGACCAAAGAAUUGGGAGCCGUUUGAAAUAGGGCAGGAUGUUUGUAAGCAAGUGGCAGAAGUCCAUCCAAGGAAGAAUGUUGCUGGCUGGCUUUGAAGACAGGACUGUGUCUAGACAGAGCAUUUGUCUUUCUGAGGAGGCAGCCCCCACAGGUGCACUGCCCUGAGGGGAUAAGGCAAAAAUGGGUGCAAUUCUAUGAAUGCUGCCUGUGUGGUUUUGGACAAUACAGGUCAUUCUUCUGUGCCUCUGCUCAUCUCUUUUCAAAUAAGAAAAUGUCAUCCUUCUUCCCACACCUUUUCAGCUGAAACACUGACCCCAAGAGGGAUCAGCUCUUGCUAUGGGUUGGUACAAUUUGGCAAAAGAGGUACCACAGAGCAAGACACAUCUGAAAUCUCAGGAGCUGGGGAGAUGCUGUCAGAUAUAAUUUGUAUCUGCUUUUUCAUAUCUGGAAAUAAAAUAAGUUAUAGAUGAAAAAGAUGAGUUAGAGAGCAAAAGGAAAUCUGGAUAAGUGAAUGUUUCCUAGUCAUGUGCAUAUGAAAGCCAGAAAUAUAAGAUAACACAUAAGAAGGAACAGAAAAAAGUCCCACUAUCCCAGGAAAUGUAUGCCUGAGAAUCUGAAAUGCAGAUACUGCUUCAGAAAGGGAAGAUUUGUGUCUGUAUAUACUAAGAAAUCUUAUGAAUGAAAAUGUUCUUCUGGAUUUAUGAUACUAGCACUAUUUAAUGGCAGGCAACAAGUUCUUUGAAAGAAGAGCUGAUGGUCUGGUUCCUGUGAUGCUAUAAAUAUACAUCCCUACCCCCACCAUAUCCACUCCCCUGAAAAAAUACAGUCAGAGAGAAAGAGCUAGAAAAGAGUAUGGUCACCAAUUACUCUUCCAGCUUUUACUUUCCUGGCCAGGCCACUACUGCUCUACAUCUCUUCACCCCAGGAUACUAGUGAUUGCUCAGUCUGCCUCAGACAGCUGCAAAGUUAUCAUUCAGUACCUGUGAUAGGGCAAUUCAUUUGCAGCUGCUGCUGUCCCAGUCUUUCAUCCCUCUUUGCUGCUUACACCACAUAGUUUAGAAAUAUGAAUAACCCCUCCAGGAAUGUGAAGCAGCCAGAGGGAAUGUGUGUGUGUGUGUGUGUUUAGUUGCCCAGGUCUGUGCAGGCUUCCCUGUACAAGGCAUAAUGCCUGCUCAUUUCUCAGCACCGCUCCUGGGCUAUACCCAGUGUUGGAUCAAUGCACUUGACUCUGCAGGAUGGCCAACAGCCUGCAAGAGCAAAGGUGGCCAAAGAUUACUGCUUUUGUAACAGUAUACACAAUGUUACCUGGAGCUGGAAUGUUUUCUCUUGCUGCACAUUACUGGUUUGGUAGAGUAGGUAUCUCUGCAUAUAAGGAAAACGGAAUGGCCAGCAGGAUAGUGCAAUGGUAUCUCAAACAUGUCCAGCUAAUUGUUGCCCUGUCCCUCUGAGACAUUGCAAAAAUACGUACGUAUCUAGGUACAAAACUAACAUAGCAAAUGUAUAUAUGUUUGGGAUUCAAUUUCUUCUGUGAAAGAUACACUCAGACCUGUCAGACUGCAGUUGAUUUGCAGUCUUGCUCAGGAGGGACAGUAAGCGGAGCGAGAAGUGCCUGUGGGAAGGCUCUGGCUGCAGCAAGGAGCUCAGUCCUGACUGGGCACUGGCCAGAUGUCCUGAUAAGGUGUGAUGCUUAUGGGCUUCAGCCCUGUCAAGCUCAUUUUCCUGGCAGGUUGCCCUUUGUGCAGGGCUCUCCUCAGUACCCCUCCAAAGUCCACUGGUGCAUUCACAGGGAUGGGAGAACUCGGGCGCUGCUUCUCCUCUCAUAGCUUGGGCAGUCUCCGUGGGGUUGUCCAAUGCCUUUUGCAAGUGUUGCACUCAUGCGCAAUGUCUAAAUGCAUUUAAUUGAUCUUUAUGGCUAUAUGCUUGUCUUCAACCUGGCACAACUGGAGGUUUAAUUGGCUACCAUAACACACAUAAAUAAUAAAAAUAUGCCAAUUAGAUAAAAUUAUGCUUACUAAUUCAGUAACUACUUUGUGUUAUGUAUCAUGCAUGAAGGUCUAUGAAUAUUGUUGUAUACUAGCUGCGCUGUCUCAUGAGCCAGAUAUACAGAUACACGUUUGGAUCUCAUGCUGGGGACUUGCUCUUGUGCGUCUGCUUG